UGGGGAAUCUUGCACAAUGGGCGCAAGCCUGAUGCAGCAACGCCGCGUGCGGGAAGACGGCCCUAGGGUUGUAAACCGCUUUCAGGAGGGAAGAAAAUGACGGUACCUCCAGAAGAAGGUGCGGCCAACUACGUGCCAGCAGCCGCGUGACACGUAGGCACCAAGCGUUAUCCGGAUUUAUUGGGCGUAAAGAGCUCGUAGGCGGUUCGGUAAGUCGGGUGUGAAAUCCAAGGCUCAACCUUGGGACGCCACCCGAUACUGCUGUGACUCGAGUGCAGUAGGGGAAGCAGGGAAUUCCUGGUGUAGCGGUGGAAUGCGCAGAUAUCAGGAGGAACACCGGUGGCGAAGGCGGGUCUCUGGGGCCGGAACUGACGCUGAGGAGCGAAAGCGUGGGGAGCGAACAGGAUUAGAUACCCUGGGUAGUCCACGCCGUAAACGGUGGGCGCUAGGUGUGGGGAUCGUUUCCACGAUCGUCCGUGCCGUAGCUAACGCAUUAAGCGCCCCGCCUGGGAGUACGGCCGCAAGGCU
rnacentral:rRNA from 1 species